rnacentral:tRNA from 1 species
GCCGCUGUGGUGGAAUCGGCAGACACAAGGGACUUAAAAUCCCUCGAACGCAAGUUCGUAUCGGUUCAAGUCCGAUCAGCGGCACCA